UGGGGAAUCUUCCGCAAUGGACGAAAGUCUGACGGAGCAACGCCGCGUGAGUGAAGACGGUCUUCGGGUUGUAAAGCUCUGUGAUUCGGGACGAAAGGCUAUAUGUGAAUAAUAGAUGGAAAUGACGGUACCGAAAAAGCAAGCCACGACUAACUACGUGUCAGCAGCCGCGGUAAUACGUAGGCGGCAAGCGGUGUCCGGAAUUAUUGGGCGUAAAGCGCGCGCAGGCGGUCACUUAAGUCCAUCUUAGAAGUGCGGGGCUUAACCCCGUGUUGGGAUGUAAGCUGUGAUACUGGUGUAUCGCAGCGGAAAGUGGAAUUCCUAGUCUAGCGGUGACAUGCGUAGAUAUUAGGAAGAACACCGGUGGCGAAGUCGACUUUCUGGACGAAAACUUACGCUGAGGCGCGAAGGCGUGGGGAGCAAACAGG
rnacentral:rRNA from 1 species